CCUUCGAUAGCUCAGCUGGAAGAGCGUGGGACUGUAAUGGGUAUUACGUAAUAUCCCAAGGCCACCGGUUCGACCCCGGUUCGAAGGA